rnacentral:lncRNA from 1 species
UCCAACUUCUUUCUACUUAGAAUCAAGUGGCAUCCCCCGCAAAAGGCUGGGCCUUAUGGCUCAUACAGCCCUGUGAUCAUGUAGCUUCUAAAAGUAUCUCCUCUAGAGGGUUUUCCUAUCUCAGAUGGAGGCUGUCCCCACCACCCCUUUACCCAGUUCUUGGGCAGCCGCAAUAAUGGGUAGUGCCUGAUUGGGGGCAUAAAUAAGCCCCUAUGUCCACUGGUCUGUGUGUUAGGUUCAGGUGGGCACUGGACUCCUGUCAGAGGCCUCAUCAUGCAGGAGACCUAGUCUCUGUGUGUGUGUGUGUGUGUGUGUGUGUGUGUGUGUGUGUGUGUGCGCGCGCACACGCACGCGUGUGUGUUAUGGUUUGUUGUGUUGUGUGUGUGGUGUGGUUUUUUUUGUGUGUGUGUGUGGUGUGUGUGCAUGGUGUGCAUGUGCAUGUUAGCUUAUGUGUGUGCCUGAGUGCACUCGUGUGGUUUGUGUGA